rnacentral:misc_RNA from 1 species
AUCAAAAGUGAUAAAAAAAAAAACUCGCAAGUGGAUCUAGAAUAUAGCCACCUAUUCUAAAUGUAGACUCCGAUGCAACUAUGGAGACAGGAAUAGCUAAGACAUCCUUGGCUAAUUGGGAGAGAAUUGGACACUUGAUAACCAUAGUCUUCCAACAUCCUAAAACAUCAAACUUGUCUUCAACCUCUUCACAACUUUCUGAUUAAUACUUUGCUACCUCCAACUUGCUUUUUAAUCUUUGUAUCCCCUUCCUAUGCUUUGCAUAUUUAGAUUGAAAAGUUAAAAUGUAUGCCUCUUCCAUCUCAUCAGUAGCUUGACUCAAAUUACAUGCUUCUCUAACAUUAUUUGAAUGACAUGAUAAAUAAUGAUCUUACAAUCUAAUUAAAAUUGCUUCCACUUUAUCCCCUGUCUCUUUAGCCUUUAGGCUUCUAUAAACUCCAUCAAAACAAUAUCUCACAUAUGCCAA